CCUACGGGAGGCAGCAGUGGGGAAUAUUGGGCAAUGGAGGAAACUCUGACCCAGCAACGCCGCGUGAAUGAUGAAGGUCUUCGGAUUGUAAAGCUCUUUUCUAAGGGAAGAAGGAAGUGACGGUACCUUAGGAAUAAGCCUCGGCUAACUACGUGCCAGCAGCCGCGGUAAUACGUAGGAGGCGAGCGUUAUCCGGAAUGACUGGGUGUAAAGGGGGCGUAGGCGGUUAGGCAAGUAAGGAGUGAAAGGCCAGGGCCCAACCGUGGAACUGCUACGGAAACUGUUGAACUUGAGUGCAGGAGUGGCAGGCGGAAUUCCUAGUGUAGCGGUGGAAUGCGUAGAUAUUAGGAGGAACACCAGUGGCGAAGGCGGGUUGCUGGACUGUAACUGACGCUGAGGCUCGAAAGCGUGGGGAGCAAACAGGAUUAGAUACCCGGGUAGUC
rnacentral:rRNA from 1 species